rnacentral:rRNA from 1 species
GUGUACGUACAAGCAGUGGGAGCACCCUUUGGGGUGUGACUGCGUACCUUUUGUAUAAUGGGUCAGCGACUUAUAUUCUGUAGCAAGGUUAACCGUAUAGGGGAGCCGAAGGGAAACCGAGUCUUAACCGGGCGUUAAGUUGCAGGGUAUAGACCCGAAACCCGGUGAUCUAGCCAUGGGCAGGUUGAAGGUUGGGUAACACUAACUGGAGGACCGAACCGACUAAUGUUGAAAAAUUAGCGGAUGACCUGUGGCU